CAGUCGCUCAGUAGUCAGUGUAGAUUCUGUUUUCUCAAUCAGCAGCUACAUCUGGCUACUGGGUCUCUG
rnacentral:pre_miRNA from 1 species